AUUGAACGCUGGCGGCAUGCUUUGCACAUGCAAGUCGAACGGUAACAGGGAGCUUGCUCCGCUGACGAGUGGCGAACGGGUGAGUAAUGCGUCGGAACGUGCCGAGUAGUGGGGGAUAACGCAUCGAAAGGUGUGCUAAUACCGCAUACGAACUGAGGUUGAAAGUGGGGGACCUUCGGGCCUCACGCUAUUCGAGCGGCCGACGUCUGAUUAGCUAGUUGGUGAGGUAAAGGCUCACCAAGGCGACGAUCAGUAGCGGGUCUGAGAGGAUGAUCCGCCACACUGGGACUGAGACACGGCCCAGACUCCUACGGGAGGCAGCAGUGGGGAAUCUUGGACAAUGGGCGCAAGCCUGAUCCAGCCAUGCCGCGUGUCUGAAGAAGGCCUUCGGGUUGUAAAGGACUUUUGUCCGGGAGCAAAUGCCUGGUGUUAAUAGCACUGGGAGCUGAGAGUACCGGAAGAAUAAGCACCGGCUAACUACGUGCCAGCCGCCGCAGUAACAC
rnacentral:rRNA from 1 species